AGAAACAGGCAAGAAACAACAUCAGUGAUGGGCCUUCCCUUCAGAUAAAACUACAGCAUUCUGGAUUCAGAUACUAUGGUGGUGGAUAUCUUAAAUCUCUGGAUAGAGGAUGAAGAGGCUCCAAAUCUACAUCUCCUUUUACCAGAGCUGCUGUUUUUCAUUGAAUAUUUGGAGUAUCCCCAAACCAGCCAGCAGUUGAAUAGCCUUGUUGCUGGCUCCAUUAGAUAAAUUAUGCCCUAUUAUCCUUACCCUACUGUAAUGCACAAACACCACCACAGUUAUGCAGCUUUAGACCCUGACAAGGAUGCCUCUGCCCUGUCCAGUUUAUUAAUAGAGGCUAUGGAAGUGAACUUGCUAACAUUGAUAGUCAAAAGCAACACUGGCUUUCGAGUCUCGAAUACAGACGUUCUAGGGAAAUCAGAAUGUGACUAUUGCCAGGUACUGUACAGGAAUGAAGUCUGAAUUUCAAAAGCCAGAAAAAACAACUGCACAUUCUUUCUGACAA